GGGAAACCCUUCUCCUUCAACUACAAUCAAGAACUCAAGAAUUGAACCUGAAUUUGGGGAGAAAUCGGAUGCAUGAGCUUAUAAUCUUAAUCAUCUAGACAAGAUGAACAUGUGGAAUCACGUCGUGACGGACUCAAGCAUGAAAGGAUAACGGGUCAAGAAGAGGAGAGGAAUCGGAUACGAGCACGGACGCAUAAGGUUGUGCGGGUCACGGAGGAUCAUCAAGGAAUAAAGAUCGAAGAUCGAGUCACUUAAGGGAUUGUACGGGGUUGUCUAAGGAUGUAAAUUUGUUGUACAUAAGCUAUGA